ACGCCUUUUCUGCGGAGGGUAAAGAGGCCCCUCUUACCGUGACAAGAGAGUCAUGCAGUAUGAAUGGGCGUCCCGUAAACGUCUGUGGCUCGCAGCAAAGUCAGCACCAACAUUACAAGGAAGUGGGUGUACCUGUGAAUGGCAGUAGACCAGUGGAAAUUGUAUGGUCACCAGAGAGGUGGCCACCAACGGUAAAAACUCAAUACUCUGGCAGCACGCAAGUAGCUCUUAAGAAGGAGGAAAAAUGCGGCAUAUGUCCUCUUCACAAAAAUAUGAGGCAUCUAUUUGCUGCGCUAGCAGAGGUGUUACCUUCCAUACCUGGGCGAGAACUUAGUGGAGCCGAAUUGCUCGACGCUGCUAUAAAUAUUAUCAGCAGUGUUAAUAAUAUUGUAAAUUCAGGCUGUGUUCUCUAACUCUAGAGGAGCUCCUUGCACUGAUCGAACUUAAUGGAUACACAAAAAAAAAAUUUUUUUCUUCAAAGACUUCGAAGUGAGAGCUCGUGGCAAUUUUA